AAAAACUCAGUGUGUACAACCCUGAAUGAGUAUAAAGCAGUCGUUAGUCAUUUUGGGCCAGAGCCCAAUUCAAUAACGGUGGUCUCUGGGCCUUAGCCCAAACUAGCCUCAGUUGGGCCGAAGCCCACAUCGCAAUAAUAUCACAACAAUAUCAUACAUGCAAUGCAAUGCAGUGAAUCCCAUCCCAAUAAUCCAUCUGCUACAC
rnacentral:lncRNA from 1 species